AUGUAUUGCUUUCACACUUGCAGAUUUUUUUUCUUUCUUUCCAUAUAAGUUUUGAAAGCAUUUGAGGCAGCAUCAAAAAUUUCAAGUAAUGUGCUUUAAGUACAUUUAAAAAGAAACAGAGGACAUCUAAGAACAUUUGUGGACAAUUACUAUUUUCCUUUUGACACUGGUGUCCACAACUGGGAUAGAAUACAACUCUGCAUGCUACUAACUUUGCAGA